UACAGAGGGGGCAAGCGUUGUUCGGAAUUACUGGGCGUAAAGGGCGCGUAGGCGGCCCGCUAAGUCGAACGUGAAAUCCCCAGGCUUAACCUGGGAACUGCGUCCGAUACUGGCAGGCUUGAAUCCGGGAGAGGGAUGUGGAAUUCCAGGUGUAGCGGUGAAAUGCGUAGAUAUCUGGAGGAACACCGGUGGCGAAGGCGGGUCUCUGGGCCGAUACUGACGCUGAGGAGCGAAAGCGUGGGAGCGAACAGG
rnacentral:rRNA from 1 species